AGAGGGAAAAGGAGCAAUCCGCUUUGAGAUGGCCUCGCGUCCGAUUAGCUAGUUGGUGAGGUAAUGGCCCACCAAGGCGACGAUCGGUAGCCGGACUGAGAGGUUGAACGGCCACAUUGGGACUGAGACACGGCCCAGACUCCUACGGGAGGCAGCAGUGGGGAAUAUUGCACAAUGGGGGAAACCCUGAUGCAGCGACGCCGCGUGGAGGAAGAAGGUCUUCGGAUUGUAAACUCCUGUUGUUGGGGAAGAUAAUGACGGUACCCAACAAGGAAGUGACGGCUAACUACGUGCCAGCAGCCGCGGUAAAACGUAGGUCACAAGCGUUGUCCGGAAUUACUGGGUGUAAAGGGAGCGCAGGCGGGAAGACAAGUUGGAAGUGAAAUCUAUGGGCUCAACCCAUAAACUGCUUUCAAAACUGUUUUUCUUGAGUAGUGCAGAGGUAGGCGGAAUUCCCGGUGUAGCGGUGGAAUGCGUAGAUAUCGGGAGGAACACCAGUGGCGAAGGCGGCCUACUGGGCACCAACUGACGCUGAGGCUCGAAAGUGUGGGUAGCAAACAGGAUUAGAUACCCUGGUAGUCCACACCGUAAACGAUGAUUACUAGGUGUUGGAGGAUUGACCCCUUCAGUGCCGCAGUUAACACAAUAAGUAAUCCACCUGGGGAGUACGACCGCAAGGUUGAAACUCAAAGGAAUUGACGGGGGCCCGCACAAGCAGUGGAGUAUGUGGUUUAAUUCGACGCAACGCGAAGAACCUUACCAAGUCUUGACAUCCCUUGACAGGCAUAGAAAUAUGUUUUCUCUUCGGAGCAAGGAGACAGGUGGUGCAUGGUUGUCGUCAGCUCGUGUCGUGAGAUGUUGGGUUAAGUCCCGCAACGAGCGCAACCCUUAUGGUCAGUUACUACGCAAGAGGACUCUGGCCAGACUGCCGUUGACAAAACGGAGGAAGGUGGGGAUGACGUCAAAUCAUCAUGCCCUUUAUGACUUGGGCUACACACGUACUACAAUGGCGUUAAACAAAGAGAAGCAAGACCGCGAGGUGGAGCAAAACUCAGAAACAACGUCCCAGUUCGGACUGCAGGCUGCAACUCGCCUGCACGAAGUCGGAAUUGCUAGUAAUCGUGGAUCAGCAUGCCACGGUGAAUACGUUCCCGGGCCUUGUACACACCGCCCGUCACACCAUGAGAGCCGGGGGGACCCGAAGUCGGUAGUCUAACCGCAAGGAGGACGCCGCCGAAGGUAAAACUGGUGAUUGGGGUGAAGUCGUAACAAGGUAGCCGUAGGAGAACCUGCGGCUG
rnacentral:rRNA from 1 species